rnacentral:rRNA from 1 species
CAAUAGCGUAUAUUAAAGUUGUUGCAGUUAAAAAGCUCGUAGUUGGAUUUGUGGCGUACAGUGUGUUCCGGGCACUUGUUGUCUGAGUAACCUGCUGUUGCCAUCCUUGGGUGGAACCUGUGUGGCAUUAGGUUGUCGUGCAGGGGAUGCCCAUCAUUUACUGUGAAAAAAUUAGAGUGUUCAAAGCAGGCUUAUGCCGUUGAAUAUAUUAGCAUGGAAUAAUGAGAUAGGACUUUUUUGCUAUUUUGUUGGUUUGCGCAAAGAGGUAAUGAUUAAUAGGGACAGUUGGGGGUAUUCGUAUUCCAUUGUCAGAGGUGAAAUUCUUGGAUUUUUGGAAGACGAAUUACUGCGAAAGCAUUUACCAAGGAUGUUUUCAUUAA